rnacentral:rRNA from 1 species
UACGGAGGGGGCUAGCGUUGUUCGGAAUUACUGGGCGUAAAGCGCACGUAGGCGGCUUUGUAAGUUAGAGGUGAAAGCCCGGAGCUCAACUCCGGAACUGCCUUUAAGACUGCAUCGCUUGAAUCCAGGAGAGGUGAGUGGAAUUCCGAGUGUAGAGGUGAAAUUCGUAGAUAUUCGGAAGAACACCAGUGGCGAAGGACGGC